rnacentral:tRNA from 1 species
GCUUUCGUGGUGUAGUGGUCAGCAUGCUCGACGCGUAACCGAGAGGUCCGUGGUUCGAUUCCCGGCGAAGGCG